rnacentral:rRNA from 1 species
CAGUAGCCGCGGGAAUACGGAGGGGGCAAGCGUUAUCCGGAAUUAUUGGGCGUAAAGGGUACGUAGGUGGCCUUUUAAGCGUAGGGUAUAAGGCAAUGGCUCAACCAUUGUUCGCCCUAUGAACUGGAAGGCUUGAGUGCAGGAGAGGAAAGCGGAAUUCCUAGUGUAGCGGUGGAAUGCAUAGAUAUUAGGAGGAACAUCAGCGGCGAAGGCGGCUUUCUGGACUGCAACUGACACUGAGGUACGAAAGCGUGGGGGGCAAACAGGAUUAGAUACCCCAGUAGUCCCUGUCUCUUAUACC